rnacentral:rRNA from 1 species
AGAGUUUGAUCCUGGCUCAGGAUGAACGCUGGCGGCGUGCUUAAUACAUGCAAGUCGAACGAAGCACCUUGGACAGAAUCCUUCGGGAGGAAGACCAUUGUGACUGAGUGGCGGACGGGUGAGUAACGCGUGGGUAACCUGCCUUGUACAGGGGGAUAACAGUUGGAAACGACUGCUAAUACCGCAUAAGCGCACAGUACCGCAUGGUACGGUGUGAAAAACUCCGGUGGUACAAGAUGGACCCGCGUCUGAUUAGCUGGUUGGUGAGGUAACGGCCCACCAAGGCGACGAUCAGUAGCCGACUUGAGAGAGUGAUCGGCCACAUUGGGACUGAGACACGGCCCAAACUCCUACGGGAGGCAGCAGUAGGGAAUAUUGCACAAUGGGGGAAACCCUGAUGCAGCGACGCCGCGUGAAGGAAGAAGUAUUUCGGUAUGUAAACUUCUAUCAGCAAGGAAGAAAAUGACGGUACUUGACUAAGAAGCCCCGGCUAAAUACGUGCCAGCAGCCGCGGUAAUACGUAUGGGGCAAGCGUUAUCCGGAUUUACUGGGUGUAAAGGGAGCGUAGGCGGCAUGGCAAGUCAGAAGUGAAAGCCUGGGGCUCAACCCCGGAAUUGCUUUUGAAACUGUCAGGCUAGAGUGUCGGAGGGGUAAGCGGAAUUCCUAGUGUAGCGGUGAAAUGCGUAGAUAUUAGGAGGAA